rnacentral:rRNA from 1 species
UCCUACGGGAGGCAGCAGUGGGGAAUCUUGCACAAUGGAGGAAACUCUGAUGCAGCGAUGCCGCGUGAGUGAAGAAGGCCCUUGGGUUGUAAAGCUCUUUUGUCAGGAAAGAUAAUGACUGUACCUGAAUAAUAAGGUCCGGCUAACUUCGUGCCAGCAGCCGCGGUAAUACGAAGGGACCUAGCGUAAUUCGGAAUUACUGGGCGUAAAGCGCGCGUAGGCGGUUAAGUAAGUUAAUUGUGAAAGCCCGAAGCUCAACUUCGGAAUUGCAAUUAAAACUACUUAGCUAGAGUUUAUCAGAGGAAAGCGGAAUACAUAGUGUAGAGGUGAAAUUCGUAGAUAUUAUGUAGAACACCAGUUGCGAAGGCGGCUUUCUGGGAUAACACUGACGCUGAGGUGCGAAAGUAUGGGUAGCGAAGAGGAUUAGAUACCCUCGUAGUCCAUACCGUAAACGAUGAUUGUUAGAUGUUGGAAAUUUAUUUUCAGUAUCACAGCUAACGCGUUAAACAAUCCGCCUGGGGAGUACGACCGCAAGGUUAAAACUCAAAUGAAUUGACGG